UGGUUUGUUAWCGGUGGUCGGCUCUAUUAAACAACUUCCACCUUACAUUCCUGUUCAUUCGUCCGGUAAGGCUUUAGUUGCCUAAAAAAUUGUGGGUUUCUUGUGUUGCAUACCUUGCGAAGGUAUUUAUGUGGCUUAUCCARUUUCUUUUCAUCUGUCGUCGUGCUUAUGACAUCUGAUGAAACCSUAAACGUGUCUCUCUGAACCGCAUCAUUAAUUCUUGUGUUGAUGUAGUGGAGCAUCGAGACUUGCCUGGUAUCUUUUUGAUGUAGUAACUGAUGUGGGCAUGGGUCUCAUGGGAUCCUUAUUUUGUCCCGGUUUGGUGUUUAAGCUUCGUAAAAUGACUGCUUGACGCGCGUUGUCUAGUACAUCGUGUYAGGCKUUGUCUAURAGGAAUGUUACCUGGU
rnacentral:misc_RNA from 1 species